GCUAAUUCAGAUCCUAGUAACUUCUUAUUACAAACUGAAACUAAAGAUUUUUACAAAAAAUUAUGGGGUUUACAGUUUCCUUCAAAAAUUACUAUAACUAUCUGGCGAACCUCUUGGGAUUUUAUCCCCUAUCUAGCAAAUCUCAGAUAGAAAAUAAUUACUGCAAGUGACAGAUGCCCCCGUUGCUAUUCUGGGGUUGAAGACAGUCCUCAUAUUUUCCAUCAAUGCCCUGUAACAAUAGAAGUGUGGCAGUGUUUACAUCUAUCUUGGGUCAUGAACAAUAUGAAUCAAAAUCUAUGGGAGUGGCUCACUUGGGUUUUCAAGAGAGGAACUGAGAACCAAUGCCGCCUUUUCUGUAUUGCUUUACGGCUAAUCUGGUUUUCCAGGAAUCAGCUCAUGCACGAGAAGAAAGAAACGACAGGGAGAGAACUUGUUCAAUGAAUACAGGGGUAUAUGGAAGAAAAUGAAGGAGUGAGAGAAAUUCGGACCCUUUUAAACACAAGCAAAAAUCACAGAGUUCAAGAGGACAUACCGAGAAUAACGAUCUAGUUUGAUGCGGCGUUCGACAAUCGAAACUUCAAAUCAGUGACAGGUUUGGUGGUUUGGGGACUGAUGGGCAAACUCCUGGUCUUAAAAUCGACCCUUCACAACAAUAUCCCUUCCCCGUUUGUAGUUGAAGCAUUCGCAUACUUGGAAGGUUUAAAG
rnacentral:lncRNA from 1 species